UACGUAGGGGGGCGAGCGUUGUCCGGAUUUAUUGGGCGUAAAGAGCGUGUAGGCGCCAGGUAGGUCUGCUGUGAAAACUCGAGGCUCAACCUCGAGACGUCGGCAGAAACCAUCUGGCUAGAGUCCGGAAGAGGAGACUGGAAUUCCUGGUGUAGCGGUGGAAUGCGCAGACUAGCAGGAGGAACACCGAUGGCGAAGGCAGG
rnacentral:rRNA from 1 species